CGACCUGUACUAGUAAUAAAGACCAGGAAUGUGUAUUAAAAAGGGUCAAUUUUCAUUUCAUUUUGACUUUAAUGUCAAAAGCAGCAAGUGUGUGACAUGGUUUAUGAUAUACCUUAAUGCUAUCAGUGUAAUUCUUUCAUGAAGCAAUGCAAUUAAUAUUUUCAAAAUGGUCUAUAUUCUGUUGCAUUCUACAUAGUGUUGUCUGUCUGGUUACGUUUUACUUGUCUAGAAGUUUAAAGUGUCUCUGAAUUUUGUUUUGAAGACAAACUAAUGGAUGGAGGUCAUGCAAUCUGUUCCUGAAGGGGCAUUUUAUGUAUCUUCGGUCCAUGAAGACGUUUUGUGAAUGCCACGGCAGCUUUGAGCCUGAAAUAUGUCGUCGUACUGGUACGUCAAAGAGACUGCGGAUCCGGGCAGCAGGGCCAGCAGCAUGGAGGAGCAAGCUGGCGUUACAGAGAUGGGAGCCAAGCAGUCGGCGGUUGGCAACGUUUCCUUGAGUCAUUCUCCUACUCUGAAGAACAUCCAAGAGGCCUAUACACAAGCAGAGGACCAGAGGGCACGUGAGCUAAUCCAGCUUUCCUGCGAGAAUAACAGUGGAGGGGGACCGGAUGGGGUGAGUUUGAUCAUUUGCACACUUUAUACUCUCAUUUUUGACUGAAAAUUCACAUUAUAAGCACUUUAAGGGACGUGGGUGCAUUGUGCAAGCAGUUCACCUGCUGAAAGACCAGCAUAUGUUGUGUUUUGGAAGCAGCUAUGGUGGUUUGGCACCAAACGGGCUUUUUGUGCCAUCAUCAGAACAACAUUUCUCAGUCCUGUACAGAUAUACUUGAGCAUAAUAGCUGGGUGGGCGUAUCAUGCUGACUUGGGAUUGAAAUGAGCAGGCAGCAUUGUAAGAUUAUGCAGCUUUCUAAGAUAUCUUCUUUUUUCUGAAAAUAAUUAAAUGUAAUUUGCUGCUUAUGUAAAACUGUAAAAAAUGAGGAUUGAAAUACAAUAUUGAAGCAGUUUUGUAAGUGGCCACGUACACACUGUGAAUUUUCAGGAGUGAAACGGCAUUUAAAUCCACUAAAUUAUAGUUUUGUGUGUGUACAGAACAGAAUCUUAUUAAAUAAGAUAAGAUAAAAAUAUCGCUGACCCAAAACUGCAACUUCCCACUAUAUUAACUUUCUAAAGUGCCAAAUUAAGUGGAAAAGACAAAUCCAAAAAGAUUAUAAUAGCUGGAUCUGGCAACACGGAGGCUGUGCCCUCACUUACACACAGCUCUCUCAAGACUUGCAGUGAUCAUGCUCAUACCACGGACGCUAACAUGAUUCUUGCAAACUGUCUUAACUGAAUUAUACAUGCAGACAUUCAUAUGAGGAGUUUUAAACAGAAAAUUAUUAAUUCAGAGAACAAAUGUUAUUUUUGAACAUGAAAAAUGUAGAGGUUUGGACCUCCUACGGGCCUGCAUCGCUCCUUGUGAUUUCUUGCACUACAACGCUGAUAUAUAUUUAAAUAUGUCAUUAACGACUAGCUGUUUAGUUCGGCUCCGUACACACCGUGUAGAAUUUCAAUAAAUGAGGUUGUUAUUCCUUGCAUUUUUCAUGAGCACCAGUAUAUUCAGUUGUAAAAUACAGUUGUCACUUUAUUGAAGUGUAAAUUAUUGAAGUGUCUGUGCGGAGAACAGGAUUCGGCACUAAAAGGUGAAUUGACACCUGAAUUUAUCUACAGUAAACAUGGCCAGUAAGUAGUCUAUUAGCAGACACUGUUAUACUUUUUCUUUUUUUACGGUAAAGGACUGUAAAACUCCUAUGAUUAAAAACUGUAAAUUGGUUAACAGUACGUUUCUGUAAACUAUAAUGGAUCUAAUGGUACAUAUCAUGUAAUUUUGUAAGUUUAAUGUAUUUGAAUUGAAAAACAAGAAGUCGUCUUAGAAUUUACAGUGGAAACUAUAAAGCAACAUUCCCAGAAUUCCCUUUGUGGCACACUUUGCAUAUGUUUUUUAAUGAAAUAAUAGUUUUUAUCAUUUAUGUACAUUAGGGGUUUAUGUUACAUCUUAUGUUGUUAAAUGAAUGUUUAUUGCAUUAGUUUAGUGUCAUCUCUUUACCAUGUGUGUUUAAGGUGGCCGUCAAAAUAUUAUAAAGGUAAAAAACAGAUGUUAGGGAUUUGGUAUACAAACAUUAUUUUGGUUGGUGCAACCACAGGUGCUUUCUUUUUUUAUAUAUAUUCUUUUUUACACUGUAUUUCACAUAGAGUUGCUUGUAAGCUGUGGGUGGUUGCCAGGUUGGUGCUUUAUUGUAAACAAGCAUCCAUGUGAUACAUCUAUAUCUAUAACACAUUUUACAACAAGUUGCUGAAGCUCAAACAAUAGAUCAUCCCACUGGCAUUGCCAAAAUCAUGGGUUUAAGUGAUAAUAUGAUCAAUUUGAACUGAUGGAAUGUGUAACUUAAAUUCUUUUGGAUUAAAGUUAAAAUAUUUCAAUUUAAAAGUAAAUAUUGUGAUGGCAAAGUCAUGGGUUAAGUUACCAGGGAAUGCUUGAACUGAUAAAAUGCAUCUUCCAAAUGCAUAAAUAUAAAUGUGAGUUGCAUGAUUUGAGGUACAGCAUCAGUUUGAAGCUAACAGUGUACAGUAAGUUAAUUGUCAAACUUUAACACUUAGAAUUAGGAGUUUGUUCAAAUGAUUAAUCCUAGUAUGAACAACAGUCAAGUAUCCGGCUUGACUUAGCUUAAGACUGCAUGGGCUUUUCUGAUCUGCAUCAGCAGGGGAAAUGUGCACAUGCUUGUGAAACCCUUGAUACUUCUCACAUGCACGCACAAUACAGUACUAAAGGAAACCCAGAGCCCAUGACAACCAUUGAAUAUCACAGCUUUUUUCACACUUGCUUCUCUGUUUUCGCCUUCAUGUUUGAUGUAUGAAAAAUACAAAAACACAUUAUUUAUGUGCUUUCAAAACCGUAGCGAUCCAUUAUCGACCUGCCACAGACUCAAAACACUACAUUGGCUUGUGUUUACAGUCUGUGAUGCUGAAUAAGCAGAUGGUAUUCUGAUAUGUUUUAAACGUUAAAACCUGUUUUGGCCUUUAAAUCUGCUUGGUGGUCUCUAUGGACCUAACGAUGAAAACUAAAACAGCAACAAAUCAUUAGAAUAUGACGAGCCUUUGAUCUAGAUUUAAAGGUAAUGUGUAUCAGUUUUUCUAAGUUACAAUACUUCCUCCUAUCACAGCUUAAUAUGCAGAAAUAACAUAGACCUUUUGCAUGUUUAUUUCCCUGUUGUGUAAACACUGUGACACUGAUCUGUUUGUUUGAACCACCCGACAUGUUUGCUUUUGGCUCAACCAAUUGCACAAGUUUGAGGCUGUAAUAUCUGUUUAUCUGACCAAUGGCAGACAAGGGGAGGGUUUUGGAAACUUGUUUGGAUUUAAAACUGUCAUUAUGUUGGUUCCUAUGGUUUUUAUGGUUCGCAAUUGUUCAGAACACCUUAACAACAACCUAGCAGUGUUAUAUUAAAAUGAUUUCUAAAGGAUCAUGUGACACUGAAGACUGGAGUAAUGAUGCUGAAAAUUCAGCUUUUCAUCACAGGAAUAAAUUACACUUUUAAAAUAUUCAAACACAAAACUGCUUUUUAAAUCCUAUUAAUAUUUUACAAUUUUUGGCUGUAUACUUAAUCAAAUAAAUGCAGCUUUAUGAGACUUCUUUCAAAAAACAUGUUUAAAAAAUCCAAAACUUAAAUUUUAUUUGUAUGUCCGUUUAUUUUUUUUUUUUUUUUUUAAAAACAUAAAAAAUAUCCCAUUUAUGCAAGGCAGAAAAUUAAAUUAUAAGGCAUGUUUGUUUGUUAAAAAGAGUUUGUUCACAGUAAGGUGAUUACAGAUGACAUGACAGCGUGUGGUCAGCGCGUGUGCAGAGAUAUUCCUCUGUAAAUACUGUUACAGGUCUCUAAUGAGGUCAGGAGUGAUUGAUGAUGUGACUGUAAUGGCUCCUAACCGGCCAUCAGUUAACAAACCCACAUCUGAUCCUCUGCUC
rnacentral:lncRNA from 1 species